ACACAAGAAUUCUAACACUUUUGGGUUCCUAACAGGGUUCGUCAUCAGCAAGGUCAUUAGGUCAUCAGGAAGAACAUGCAUAAAAAAAAAAAAAAAUUGAACAAUCCAGAAUCAGGCAUGUUCUUCCUGGGAAUUUGUUUGAUGCAUGAAUAGAUUCGUCGGAGGCUCGGCGAAGAACACCGCCUUUGAUAAGUUUUUUUUUUUUUUUUUUUUUUUUUUCCUAUCUAGAUUUUUGUUGGGUAGCGAUUAAUUUCCUACUUUGAGUUGAUUUUAGCAAACAACACCGCAGCCAGAUCCGUCUUUACCUUCUGAUCUCCUCAAUACAAUGGAACUAAAUGUGAAGAUAGUUUAUGCUUGAAUAUGCUCAAGUUUUAUUUUAUAUUAGGCUCAGAAAUCAUUGAUCUUGAACAGCAGCACAGGAGCAAUAGUGACAGCUUUUUCUAUAUCCUACAGAUUGGGACCAGAUGCAGAGAGUUGCUACUGGAAUCAAUGCUUUGAAUUGUGAUUUUGUGGGGAGCGAGACGGAAGUGGGUCAGUUUAUUUGUGCUUAAAGGAAGAAACUUUUUUGGUGUUGGAGGGAAUUAGGAUUUUGGGUGACUUGUUAUUUGAUAGUGAGCUUGGAGAGUUUGGAGAGUUGAAUGUAAGGUUUGGUGGCUUUACAGGGUGAUGUGGUAGAGAAGCUGAUAUAUCAGAUAUGCAAGAACCCUCAUCCAAAUAUUGUUGUUUUAACUGUUGCAGCAGUUUCGAUAUGGCAGGUUUGUUCAACAAAAGUUAGGAGGGCUAUCUGUGCGUCUUGAUAUGAAAAGAUGCAGGCUGAUUUAUCAUUUGCGGAUGAACCAUGACCAAACGUUUCACAGUUUACCAAAAGAGCAGCGCAGAGAUCUGCUCAUUCUUUACUCUUUGCAACUAUUGAAGCAGAAGAGAUUUGGGUUUCACUGCCUACUGCAGUACAUAACUUGGAUAGGUUUCUGUGAAUAAUCCUUAAACUCGCAACAGUAAUUGGUCUUCAAGAGUUGCCGGCAAUUCUCUAUUUACUAAAGCUCCUGUACUGUUCCUAAGCACUAUUCCUAUCAACAGUAAAAUGGCGCUUUUGUCCAUGAGGUUUAUGUUAUGUUGUGAGAAAAGGGUCGGUGUAUUUGCGCGUUCGGGAAACCUCCAUCGACUGUAGCUAUCAAGCUGUGAGAUACAGGCGUAGAAGCGUAGCAUCGACUGUCCGAUAGAAGCGUAGCAUCGCAUUGAUCAAGUUCUGAGAUACAAAGGUUGCGCUGAAAACAAGUGGGAGAGGUUUGGUUUUCAAAAUUUAUUUGCCAGAUUUGGGAUUUUGAAUUGUUGAUUUGAUGUCAUCGUAGGUUGCUGGGGUGGGAAAGAGAAGAAGAGAGAUUCAAGAUUGUGGUGGACUUUGGGGGGAGGGAUUAGGUUUGUUUCCGGAGAGGUGGAUUCGAAAAUUUUGAUCGAGUUUGGGGGAUAGCUUUCAGCAGGAGAACAUGUGUGUUUGAUUUUGGGUUUGUAUGAGUUGUUUAAAAUUGUGGUUUUGAUUGAGUUUUGUGUGCGUUUGAAUGGUGCUGAGAGUGAUGAUGUUUUUGUUAUGUGGUGAGAGUGAAAUAUCUGAUGUUGUUCUCUGUUUAUAUGGAUGUGUUGUUUUUGUAUGUGGUUGCUUUAGUGUGAUGCAUUUGUUCUUAGUGCGAUGCAGCAUGUACUAUGAUGUAUUUUCAGUUGGUUAUCAAUUAGUAGAUAGUGUUUCCGAAAUUGAAAUCUUGAUUAUGGGUUUUGAUUUAAUUCCGAUGAUAUGCGGUUGAGGAAUGGAAAAGAAAUUUAUUUGAAGUUUUUGUGUUUGGGUUUGUAAAUUCCAUGGUCUGCUUUCUGUGAUUAGCUUCAUGUACACUAGCAUUUUUUUCUGGGUUCAUUUUUCUUGAGAAACCCACAAGAUUUUGAAUUGUUGUCUUGAUUUUGCUUCACCUAAUGAAGUGAGGGAGUGAAUAUAUGCUUCUGAUAUAGUUUUCUGGUAAUGAUCAUAAACAUCAGCUUCAUGUUUCUUGGACCUGUUCAUUUUAAAUCCUUUCCUUAUGUAGUUCUUCAUUAUCAGUAAAUGUUUAUUUAUGUGUGUUUAUAUAGAGUUAGGUAUCUGCAGCAAAAACAGAACAAACAUAAUGAGCAAUGACAUUCUAUGGUGAUUAAUAGUCAAUGGGAAAACUUCUCAUACCUUAGCAUUCUCCUUAUAGUCAAAUGCUCACCGGAGUUUCAUCUUCAGGGAGGCAGAGAAAACUAGAUUCUUAACCUAAACCGGGCAGAAUAUUAGGUUAUGUAAUAACUCAUGAAUAAGCUGAUCUCUUGAAUUGCUAUUCUAACAAUUUCAGUUCUUGGAGCUGCUUACCAGAAUGAGGCCUAUAAUGUUUUUGGGAUUGCCGGACUAGUAGCUUCAUCUCUGUUUCAAAAGUUGAAAUCAGUUAGAAACAACAAAGACGUGAACAGUGACUUAGUCUGCUGCGUCUCAAAGGUUGAUUUGUGCUGAUCUUAUUUCAUUUGAGGCUUUCAAGUUUGAAGCGACUUAGCUUCUGAGGUCUAUCUUGUGUGGUGCUGUUGUUUCAUUCAAGCCUUUGAAGUAACUUAGCUUCUUAGGGAAAGGGAUAGUUCAUGCUCUUGAAGAAAAUGCUAGAGCUUCCUACAAUUUGUACACUUUGAACUACAGAGCCGUUUAAGAAAGAACCAAUUCAGAGUACAUCAUUCCAGGGUUGUAUACAGAAUUACAGAUCGAAUUAAAGUAUGUUCAUGAACACACCAAGUCGAACAAGUCGGAGAUAAUAAUCUGUGCCAUUAGGUAACCUCAAUGCAAUAUCUCUGUAAGCCAAAAAAAAAAGAGAACAAAAGUGUAGCAAGGGAAGAAACCAAGAUGCAUUAUUGGCUGCUUGCCUACACAUUGCUUGUAAACAAGAAGACAAGCCCAGAACUCUCAAGGAAAUCUUCUCCGUCGCGAAUGGAGCCUCAAAGAAAGAGAUUGGUAGAGCAAAGGAAUACAUAAUCAAGCAACUGGGGUUAAUGGAGAAGCCGUUACAAGUAGCAAAUGCUAGGGACUAUAUGAGGCGAUUCUGUUCCUCUCUUGGCUUGAACAAUCAAGCAAUCAAAGCAGCACAACAAGCUGUGCACAAGUCGCAAGAAUUUGAUAUAAGGAGGAGCCCUGUAUCGAUAGCCGCAGCAGUGAUUUGCAUCAUCACUCAGCUUUCAGAUGUAGUAACAAGAAGCCUCUCAAAGAUAUCGCAGACGUUACAGGAGUAGCACCAGCAACUAUCAAAAAUUCAUACAAUAUCAUCUGAAUUUGUCAAGAUGAUCAAUAGGGACAGGCCCUGAAAGUGUUGUCAAGCUGAUUAAUUGUAGAAUAUGUUCAUGCAGAGUUUUUCUUUGUUGUAUUAAACUAGUAUCUAUGAACAAUUUACAACGUGAUAAACUGAAGCUUGCAUUAACUUCACAUAAAAUCAGGUUUUACUUU